rnacentral:misc_RNA from 1 species
GAUGAAGAACGUAGCGAAAUGCGAUAAGUAAUGUGAAUUGCAGAAUUCAGUGAAUCAUCGAAUCUUUGAACGCACAUUGCGCCCGCCAGUAUUCUGGCGGGCAUGCCUGUCCGAGCGUCAUUUCAACCCUCGGGCCCCCCUCUGCGGGCGGCCCGGCGUUGGGGCUCAGGCGCCGUCUCUGCUCGGCGCCUGUCCCCUAAAUGCAGUGGCGGCCUCGCCGCUGCCUCCUCCGCGUAGUAGCACAAACCUCGCGGCUGGAAGGCGGCGCGGCCACGCCGUAAAACCCCCCAACUUUACCAAGGUUGACCUCGGAUCAGGUAGGAAUACCCGCUGAACUCAAGCAUAUCAAUAAGCGGAGGA